rnacentral:lncRNA from 1 species
CAGUAUUCUCUCACAUUAAAUUACACAGGUUGGCUAACUUUUGCAGCUGAAGCUGCACUUGGAGCCUAAUUGGUUAGCUAUCUAGGAGCUAAGGUCAUCACACAGAAGCUAAGCUGAUUUCAUAAUACUGUGAGUACUAUCGACUACUCUCAUGCAUCACUUGCUACAGAGGGGGCUGGAAUUAAAGUUUUCACCUACUCUUUGACACGGACAAAUAUGGGGUUUGGUGGCCUGUAUGAAAAAGUUUUAUGUGUUCUGUUUCGUUCAAAUGUUAACCGUAGAUUGGACAUAAUGUUUUUGUUGAGUUUCCAAUAUAUAUCAUCCAACUCCGAAAAAAUCCCACAUAAUAACAUAGACACAUAUCCAAGUUAUCAUAUACAACAACCCUGAAUAUUCAUCUCCUUUAGCAACUGUUGUCUUGAAAGUGAAGAUAACUUCCACCAAGAUAGUUUCUGACAGCCUUCUAAGCAAAUCAGUUAUUCGAACUUGAUGAACAUAAACAGCGUGAUGUGAAGGCAUGCAACAGAGGUUGCAAGAACUAGAAGAUGCUGUGUUUAAAAUGUUACUACUCCUUAUUAAUAGGAAUAGCAUAACUGAAGAUUGGCAACAGAAUUUACUCAGAAAACCAAAUGUGCAGAGAACAUAGCAUGCUUCAAUUUGAUACUUCAACAGGAGGCUUAUCUUACAUAGGACAAUGUGAGAAAAGAAGAAUCUCAUCCCAACCAGCAGAUGCUACUUAUGCAACUCAAAUGCAGAAGAUAUGAACCAUCUUUCUUGUAUCACCCUGCAGCUAGACAUAUAAGAACUUGUUUCUAAACCACAAUCCUUAAGGGAAACCCAUAUCAGCUGGGGUCAUUGGUAACUCGAUAGAUGUCAAAAGACUAUAGCAAGCCAUUCUAAGCGGCAAUUUUAGGAUCGUCUGGAGUUAGAGAAACUUGAGAUGUUUUGUAUUGGGCAAAUUUGGUUCCUUACUCGGUGAAGAAAGCGGCUUAAUUAUGAUCGACUCGAGGAAGGCCGGCCUCAGAGAGUAGACGGGCCGAGUGACAUGACUCACUGCGACGUCGUUUCGAGCUCUGACACUCGUACACUGAGGCCACCAACCCUUGUACUUUUGUUUGAUUAUUUCGAGGAAGGUCCCUUAGUAUAUAAAGGGGUUCCCUUUGUAAAGACUCAUGUGUAUUUUACUAUUGAAAAUAUACAACUCUCUCUAUAUGACUUUCUUUCUCUCUCUUGUGCAAAAUUUAUUUCUUGUCUUAUUGUUCUCGUAUCACGAACUACUCACACUAUAAUCACAGAUCUUGAUCACUCUAGGCUCUCUAGUUCAUCUUACUAUUGAUUCCGAUUAACCCGUAUUAUUUUUUGAUUGUUUUAGAGCUACUUAAGUACUUGCAUAACUUUUUAGCCAAACAGUUUUAAGGGGGGUUUGGAUGCAAGACGCUUUUGAACCUUUUUGCAGGUGUAAUCUCGAUAAUGUAAAUGAUGUAAAUCAGAUGUUUGUUUUUUCUUAGUUCCUUAAACUUUGUAAACGAGCUGCUUCACGCUCAUCUUCAGUACACGGGUAACAAAGAACAGGUCUUUAGCAAGAAACAUGCGGCUGAAAUUCAGUAUACCUAAUCACAGGUCACAUUAAGUCAAAAGAUAAAAGCCCAAACUUAACGCAUUGAGAUUAAAGUAAAAACCCCCAAACUAUCUUCAGCUUUGUAUUCAAUCGAAAGAAAUAACCAAAAAUAAAAUCAGGAGAAUCUUA